GCGAGAGUGAUGGAACUGGCAGACAUGCUGGACUUAGGAUCCAGUGCCUUAACCGGCAUGGGGGUUCAAAUCCCCCCUCUCGCACCA
rnacentral:tRNA from 1 species